AACUCGGAAGUUAAGCUCUCCAGCGCCGAUGGUACUGCGACCGAGAGGUCGUGGGAGAGUAGGUCGCUGCCAACC
rnacentral:rRNA from 1 species